GAGAAGCAUGAUGGUGGAAAAGCAGUCAGAGCUGUUAGCUUUGAAGAUGGAGGACGAGAUUUGUGAACCCGGGAGUGAGGACUGUCUCUAGAAGCUGCAAAAACAUCAUCACUGAAGCCCUCUGCAUCCUCCCCAUGGAAUUCAUAAUUUUCUCAUAACUCAACUUUGACUCCCGUCACAUUGUAUCAUCGGGAACACAUUUGAUGAGAUCAAAUGGAGUGCACACAUUCAUGGGCCCCAAUAAACAGAGUUGAUUGCUCUUCGUGUCCAUGGGAGAAGAGUUCAGACUCUGUGGCUCCUAAAGUAAAGUUCUACUUCCACCAGCAAAGCAAGUUCCAGACAAAACAUUAAGAAACCUGCCCAAACCAUGGCUCAUGCUGUUCUUCCUGGGAUUUCUUGACUUGUGAAUGCUCCAGCCAGACCCAGAAGCGGAGAUGAAGAAACCAAAGUAUAGUCAAGUGAGUGUUGCAGCAAACACCUGGACUUGUGAAGAUGGGAUCUGAGAGGCUCUAGAUCAAUCCCUUCCAUAUAAACGCAGGGUAACGCUGGAAACAGACCGAUUGUACUUGGCACCAGCUGAGCAAAAAGUGGUUUCCUAGCAUCUCACAAAAGAAAUUAUGCACACAAGCAACUGCCCAAGUGAGUGCCUAACUGUAAGUUACAUAAGCACAAGGAGGGUUUUUAAUACAAAACUGUAGUUCUCAAACUGAAGUAUCAGACUCACCUGGAGAGCUACUAAAGAACAGAGGUCCAAACUCAAGGGGCUUGGACCUCUAUGUUUACAUACUAAGUCCCCCAAGUAACUCCCACACCAAAUGAAGUUUGAGAGCUACUAAUAUAAAAUAUUAUCCUUUAAUCAAAACAGGUAUGAGGCAAAAUCAUCUAUUAAAUUAUUACUCAAAUUGUUUUGAUUAACUUGGAUUUUGUGGAAGCUAGGAUUUUAUGAAGGGAGAAAAGAAACACCAUAUGCAAUAAAUCGACUGGAACUGGGAAGCACACUGAAUAAAUUACUUUUAUAAAUAGUCAUAUCAUAAAUGAGGGAGAACAUUUACAUGAAAAGAUUCAACCUUAAAAAGCUGGUUGGCACCCAAUCACAUGGACCACAACGAUCCAGAUUCUUCACUUCGCUACUUAAGGCAGAGGACCCUGCAUGAUGCAGUACUCACCUGCAAGAGGCGCCCGGAUAAGAUGGAUGUUUUGCUUCACUUCUUUAAUGUCCUGAACUUUCUGUAGUUCUUUAUUUCUCUUCAGCCUAGGAUCAAACACAUUAAGGCCAAAAUUUCAGUUACUAAAACCUCUUUAAAAGACAUUAAUUCCUAAUUUUUAAAAAUUGUAUUACGUUAGCCACACAAAUGAGCAAUGGGAACACAAUUCAUUUCUUGUUCCUAAUUAGCUUAAACAUGAUUCCUGCACUCCCAAUGUGUUCAUUCACUGUAUUCCUAGCACCCAGUCGGGAAUAAAACAGGGAUGAAAAGAUAUUUGCUCAGUGCAUGAAGGGAUGUGAUUGAAACAAAGAAUUAACAAGUCUCAGAGAUUACACAGAGUAAGAAUCUCUAAUUAUUAAAGUGUCUGUGUUCUCUAUUUGAGGAGAAAGAUUUGUAGUCUCUGUGUUAGCUAAUUUUUUAAAUCAUUCAGUAAUUACAAGAGCACAAAACACAAGACAUUCAACAGAAAAAGCUAACAGACUAGUUCUCAAGCAUUUGGGUCCUUUUUUGUAAUGCUUUAAAAAAAAAUUUUGUUUAAGCCAGAAAGCUGUUGACGCAUGCUUUUCUACGACUUUUAUGGUGACUAGAUCAAAAGCGAUGCCCCUUCUAAAGAAACAGUCAAUUCCAAGCUGGGGCAGGGAAAAUCUCAUUAGCCAUAAAGCAAGAAAGGACUCAAAGAAUGGUGAGGAACUGUCACAAUGACACACAGCCUGCCUCAAGGAAUUCUCACUGGCCAACUUGGGGUACUUAGAACAUCAAAAUAAUGACAAAGAAUUAUAACUCAUUGAAUACAAUAAGAAUUAAUGAAUACACACAGAUAUGAUGUGAAUAAAUGAAUAAAAAUAAAUUUUGGAACUGGGGAAAAAGGAAAAUGCUCUUUCUUAGAUAAGAAGGUCAACUAAUAAACGGAGAAGAAAUGAUGAAAUCAGAAAAAUCACCAUUUGGCAACAAUCACAGUAGUAAAAGAUUCAGGCAGAACUCUAAUGGAUGCGAAAACCAGUAGGUAUCAGUUUGAGGAGUAACAGGCUCUUUGCUGAGUCUCAAUGUGUCUCACGAGAUGUACUGAUUAAAAAGGGGGAAAAACAGUAACUUUCCAGUGGAGAAAACUGGCAGACACUACUUUAACCAAGCAAUGAAAGUUAACAUCACCAGUAAGGGACAACAGGUACCUCUGCUGGGGUGCUUAAAGGGGACACACUUCUAUGAUGUUCUGGCCAAAGGGACCUGAAUCGCAUCACGAAGAAAACAUCAAACAAAAACCGGGGAACAUUCUAUGAAAUAACUGACCUGUACUCUUCAAACGUGCCAAUGUCAUCUGAGACAAAGGUGAGAAACUGUCUGGAUUAAAGGAGCUUGAGGAGAUAUGACCACUAAAUGCAAUGCAUGAUCCAGGAUUUUCUGCUGCUAUGAAGGACAUUUAUUGGAACAACAGGUAAACCUAGUAAGGUCUAUAGUAUUUUAUCAGUGUUAAUUUUCUGAUUUAACUAUACUGUGGUUAUUAAGAGCAUGUUCUUAUGCUGUACACCUGAAACUAAUGUUGUGUGUCAAUUAUACCUCAAUUUUAAAAACCCAGAGAAAAAGAACAUACUAUUUUUAGGAUAUAUAUAUAUUAAAGCAUACUUAGGAGGAAAAGGCAUCAUGUCUUCAACUUAUUACGCACAGAGUUAAAGUAAAUUUGGCAAAAUGUUAACAGAAUA